rnacentral:misc_RNA from 1 species
GCAACUUGCAACUGAGUGCGGAUAAGCUCCAUCUUUGAUUCCUGCUCUUGAAGUGCUUCCUUUAGGUUAGAAAUUAGGACUGCUCUAGUUGCUUCAACACUUGCAAGCUGCUCCACGCAUUGUUUCAAUAUAGUUUCCUGCUCCUCAACUUCAUUCAACAAUGGAGAUCCUUGUUGGAUGCCUUGAGUACAGGCAUGGUCGACAUCUU